rnacentral:lncRNA from 1 species
GAGAAGGCUUCGUCCUGACCGGCCUAGCUUUUCCUGUCCCGGAUGCAAUGGCACCUCGCCCUGGCGGCGGCAGCUGGUUGCAGCCUACGCCUUCUAUCAGCACUUCCAGAAGCAGCCUCCCGCGAGGCGCCCCUUUCCUCAAAGGCCACAGCCUUGGCUCUCAAAGCCCCUCCUCUAGAACCCUGGUCCUAGCAGCAGCCCGGUAGCAGCGCUCCCUCCUCCACAGGAGGAUGGAAGAGAGACCAAGAGAACAAAUGAGUGACUUAAUAACCUCACUUUACCCAGAGAAUGGAAAAUAAAAUGCAAGAUUCCAAACCCUGCCGUUUCAUUUCAUCUAUGAAAAAUACAGGAAAAGGUGGGCUGUUUUGGCUUCCUACCAUGGAUGAGGAUCUUGAAGGAGAAACUUGGCAGAGCUUCUCUAUUCCCUGGGGCUUCAGCAAGGCGGUAGAGGAUGAAGAAGAGCAUAUAUGCCAUAUCCUCAGAACAGUGAUUGGAAUUAUGCAGGAGAAACAAAGGUAAGGUCCGUUAAGGUGUAGUAAAAGGCCACUUUGACAUAAAUAUGCAGCAAUGUUUAACAGAAGAAGUGUAGUAUCAUAAUAGAAAAUAGGUGGUUUGCUUGUAGAGAAAUUGUCGAACAUGGUGCUGAGUUCAGCUUAUUCUGAGCAUCCUCUACUCAGUCCUUCCUGAUCACAGUAGCUACCUUGGAAGAUAUUUUCCUUGCCUAGAACAUUCUUCCCUCUCUCUUCCCUUCUUCAGAUUACAUUCAGACUAUUCAAGGCUGAGCCCAGGCAUCGCUCUCCCCUGGAAAGUCUUCCCAAACAUCCAAACUAGAUUUGGCAUCUUUUCUCUCUGCAACUUUACCACCCUCUGGCUAGCUCCUUUAUCACACACUUUACGCAUUUGUGAGCUCCUUCCCUAUAAAACUGUGUCUUUCCUUUCUUGAACCCCUGGCACCAUAAAAGUUUGUUGGAAGAAUGGUUCUUUUAUCUGUAAAUUUUACUUUCCUACUUGAAACAAUUUGUAACUCAUUGGAUGCAUUUAAAAAACAGACGUGAAUCUAUUUAUAGUCUUUAUUUAUCUUGCCAAGUGUGAAUAUUGGUGCACUUAUCUGCAGAAAUAUAAAUGUGCUUAAGCAUAACAUGCUGUUCUGGACUCUACUGAUGGCUUAUGUGAUAAAUGGUAUAUGCACUGCUCACCUUUCUAAAAUGAGAAGAAAAAGGAUGAAUUCAGGUAUGCAUAUGACCUAAGAGUUUCAGAUAGAGGCUGGUGGAUCUCUCCACAUACACACAGCUCCCUGGCACAGUACCUAUACUUAGUGAGUGGGCAUUUGUGUUAGUUGAGGUUAGUUGUGCUAGCUGCUGUAACAGAGACUGAGACAACCAUAUCCGUUAUAUGAUGCCUCAUAUUCCUUUAAGGUGGACUACAUGAAAUUGAACUGAGCUGGAAGUGCAGGAGUUUCAGUUAGCUGCCUUUUCUGAUGAUUUACUUGACAAUCACACAGAAGCGUAAUUGAAAAUGUAGGAACGUGAUAGGUGAUAGAUAGUUUACAUUAAGAAAGAAGGCAACCUGGAGAAAGAAGGGACUAUAUAAAUGACCAUAUACUUCUCAGCUAUUUUAUGAGUGUGGACAAAUAUUGAUUUAGGAAAACAAUGUUGCUGAACCAUCUCUUCCAACCCAGAGUGCCUGAAUCACAAAGAAACCAACAUUGUUAGAAAACAAACGAACACACAAAGCAAUCAAGCUAUUAAAGAGGAGGGGGGGAGUCAUCCUAUCUGGUACACUCAGAACACCAAUUUUCAAUUUUGAAUUUUUCCUCUGAAUUAGAGGCUUGCCGGAAUGACUUGACUUGCAAAAUUGAUGCAUUUUUAUCUUUGUAAUUAAACGAGACUUCUGGAAUUCCUCCCUGUAAAUGAAUUCUUCAGAAUGGCCAUUGAAUUAAUCAUCUCCCCAUUGGCUUUUCCCAAAGAUUAUUGGUUUUGAAUAAAGAUUGACUUGCCAUCA